rnacentral:rRNA from 1 species
AACGAACGCUGGCGGCAUACCUAACACAUGCAAGUCGAACGAGACCUUCGGGUCUAGUGGCGCACGGGUGCGUAACGCGUGGGAACCUGCCCUUAGGUUCGGAAUAACUCCCCGAAAGGGGUGCUAAUACCGGAUAAUGUCUUCGGACCAAAGAUUUAUCGCCUUUGGAUGGGCCCGCGUUGGAUUAGCUAGUUGGUAGGGUAAAAGCCUACCAAGGCGACGAUCCAUAGCUGGUCUGAGAGGAUGAUCAGCCACACUGGGACUGAGACACGGCCCAGACUCCUACGGGAGGCAGCAGUGGGGAAUAUUGGACAAUGGGCGAAAGCCUGAUCCAGCAAUGCCGCGUGAGUGAUGAAGGCCUUAGGGUUGUAAAGCUCUUUUACCCGGGAUGAUAAUGACAGUACCGGGAGAAUAAGCUCCGGCUAACUCCGU